rnacentral:rRNA from 1 species
GUGCCAGCCGCCGCGGUAAUACGUAGGGUGCGAGCGUUAAUCGGAAUUACUGGGCGUAAAGCGUGCGCAGGCGGUUUUGUAAGCCAGAUGUGAAAUCCCCGGGCUUAACCUGGGAAUGGCAUUUGGGACUGCAAGGCUUGAGUUUGGCAGAGGGGACUGGAAUUCCUGGUGUAGCAGUGAAAUGCGUAGAGAUCAGGAGGAAUACCGAUGGCGAAGGCAGGUCCCUGGGCUGAAACUGACGCUCAUGCACGAAAGCGUGGGGAGCAAACAGGAUUAGAAACCCUGGUAGUCC